rnacentral:misc_RNA from 1 species
GAGUUCAUGCCCUUACGGGUAGAUCUCCCACCCUUGAAUAUAUUACCUUUGUUGCUUUGGCGGGACGCUUCGUCCACCGGCUUUGGCUGGUGGUGAGUGCCCGCCAGAGGACCCAAAAUUCUGAAAUACAGUGUCGUCUGAGUACUAUAUAAUAGUUAAAACUUUCAACAACGGAUCUCUUGGUUCU